rnacentral:rRNA from 1 species
GACGAACGCUGGCGGCGUGCUUAACACAUGCAAGUCGAACGGUAAGACCCUUCGGGGUACACGAGUGGCGAACGGGUGAGUAACACGUGGGUGAUCUGCCCUGCGCUUCGGGAUAAGCCUGGGAAACUGGGUCUAAUACCGGAUAGGACCCUGGGAUGCAUGUCCUGGGGUGGAAAGCUUUUGCGGUGUGGGAUGGGCCCGCGGCCUAUCAGCUUGUUGGUGGGGUGAUGGCCUACCAAGGCGACGACGGGUAGCCGGCCUGAGAGGGUGACCGGCCACACUGGGACUGAGAUACGGCCCAGACUCCUACGGGAGGCAGCAGUGGGGAAUAUCGCACAAUGGGCGCAAGCCUGAUGCAGCGACGCCGCGUGAGGGAUGACGGCCUUCGGGUUGUAAACCUCUUUCAGCACCGACGAAGCGCAAGUGACGGUAGGUGCAGAAGAAGGACCGGCCAACUACGUGCCAGCCGCCGCCGUAA